rnacentral:piRNA from 1 species
UUCGCCAUGGUAGCGUAGG